AUGGAAAGUGAAAAGAUAAGUAGAUAGAAGAAAAGAGGAAAAUACUCUAGAAGGACUAAUAAAACCACACUUUCGUUUUUUACACAGAUAACCAAAAAGAACCUGACAAGGUGAAUCAUGAAUCACUAAUGCUGUAAUUACAAAAGAGCAGUGUCACUGGCUACUCCAAACACUGCUUAUUCAGGAAGCCAAGAGGCCAUGCAGCAAUGGGUUUUUCACCUGCCUAUUUUAGUAGAAUGAACAGAGAGCCCAAGAGGGAAAUUACUCCAAAGGGAGACUGGAUAUCCAUACAACAACAACAACAACAACAACUACUGUUUGGUCUCUUUGUCAGAGUCCACACAAAAUCAAACUCUGGUAGAUUAUAUAUCUAUAUGUGAAAAUCACAAGUUUCAGAAGAUCAUAUAGGAGAAUACCAUCAUACUCUUGGGGUAGGAAAAUAAAAUGAAUGAAAUUGAAAACCA
rnacentral:lncRNA from 1 species